rnacentral:rRNA from 1 species
GUCUUUUUGAAAUAAAUUUAAAGUCUAACCUGCCCACUGAAAAUUUUAAAUGGCCGCAGUAUUCUAACUGUGCAAAGGUAGCAUAAUCAUUAGUCUUUUAAUUGAAGGCUGGAAUGAAUGGUUGGACGAAAUAUUAACUGUUUCAUUUAAAUUUUUUGUAGAAUUUUAUUUUUUAGUUAAAAAGCUAAAAUAAAUUUAAAAGACGAGAAGACCCUAUAAAUCUUUAUAUUUUGUUUAUUUUAGUUAUAAAGAUUAUUUUUAUUAUAAUGAAUUAAAAUAUUUUAUUGGGGUGAUAUUAAAAUUUAAAAAACUUUUAAUUUUUAAAACCAUUAAUUUAUGAAUAAUUGAUCCAUUAAUAAUGAUUAAAAAUUUAAGUUACUUUAGGGAUAACAGCGUAAUUUUUUUGGAGAGUUCAUAUCGAUAAAAAAGAUUGCGACCUCGAUGUUGGAUUAAGAUAUAAUUUUGGGUGUAGCCGUUCAAAUUUUAAGUCUGUUCGACUUUUAGAUUCUU